rnacentral:rRNA from 1 species
GAAUUUUAUAUAUAAAAUUUAUUAAUAGUUAAUUUAUUUAGUUGAUGAAUUUUUAUAUAUUUAAUUGGGAGGAUUGUUAAAUUAAUUAAACUUUAAUUACCAUGAGAAUAAUAUAGAUGAAUAAUUUAUAAAUAUAAAUAUGAAGGAGGAUUUUAUUUUAAUUGAGUAAGAAUUAAUUACCUUAGGGAUAACAGCGUAAUAAUUUUGGAAAGAACAUAUUGAUAAAAUUGAUUGC